GGCGUUGCAGACUAUGGAAGCUAACGUAUAAACUAAGUUCAAAUCAGAAAACCGAAGUUUCACAAUUUCAUGUAAACUACUGGUAACUGGUGACUGGGGGGGAAAUACCUGUAACUGGUUUUUUGUUGUUAUGACAAUCUGCUCGUUUGCCAGUGAAGAAAUGGUGCCUGUCAAACAGCUGGAAUAUCACAUUUAUGCAUCCAAUCUGCUUGCGAAGAUCAUGGUGGGCUUCUUUCACCGAAGAUGGUAUCCCCGACGAAGACAUCUCUCUCCUCCCUUCUAACACGCUGACUGGUUAGAACGACAGAAUCUCGCAACUCCCAUUCGCUUCUCCAGGGCAGAAAAACGACGAAUACUUACAAUGGUGCAGACCAGAACAACGAGAAUAUAACAGGAAGAAGCUUCCUCGGCAGCCACUGAUAACGAAAAACCGAAC